GGUUCCAUAGUGUAGUGGUUAGCACAUCUGCUUUACACGCAGAAGGUCCUGGGUUCGAUCCCCAGUGGAACCA
rfam:TPA: Bos taurus chromosome 23, whole genome shotgun sequence.